AGCUUCCUGGGUUAUUUCCAAACAUAUUUCCUUUAGCAACUGGUCAGUUUGGAGCUCUUCCAGUUAUGCCAGUUCAGGCAAUGACCCAACAGGCAACAAGGCAUGCUCGACGGGGUGUAUGUGGGUGGCCUUCCUCCUACAGCAAAU